AAGCUCGACGAUGAGGACCUUGUGUCUUACAUCCUCGCCGGGCUUGACUUCGAUUAUGAUCCAGUGGUUUCAGUGGUUGCAGCCCGCGUGGAACCGAUCACGAUCUCAGAGCUGAUCACACAACUGAUCAGCUUUGAGC
rfam:Oryza meridionalis cultivar OR44 (W2112) chromosome 12, whole genome shotgun sequence.